rnacentral:rRNA from 1 species
GAUGAACGCUGGCGGCGUGCCUAAUACAUGCAAGUCGAGCGAACAGACGAGGAGCUUGCUCCUCUGACGUUAGCGGCGGACGGGUGAGUAACACGUGGAUAACCUACCUAUAAGACUGGGAUAACUUCGGGAAACCGGAGCUAAUACCGGAUAAUAUAUUGAACCGCAUGGUUCAAUAGUGAAAUACGGUUUUGCUGUCACUUAUAGCUGGAUCCGCGCCGCAUUAGCUAGUUGGUAAGGUAACGGCUUACCAAGGCGACGAUGCGUAGCCGACCUGAGAGGCUGAACGGCCACACUGGAACUGAGACACGGUCAAAACUCCUACGGGAGGAAGCAGUAGGGAAUCUUAGGCAAUGGGCGAAAGCCUGACGGAGCAACGCAGCGUGAGUGAUGAAGGUCUUCGGAUCGUAAAACGAUGUUAUUAGGGAAGAACAAAUGUGGAAGUAACCAUGCACGUCUUGACGGUACCUAAUCAGAAAGCCACGGCUAACUACGU